rnacentral:tRNA from 1 species
GCCUCUGUAGCUCAGUUGGUUAGAGCACUGCACCGGAAUCACAGGGCCGUAGGUUCAAUUCCUACCAGAGGAC